GUGAGGAAUAUUGCGCAAUGGAGGCAACUCUGACGCAGCCAUGUCGCGUGCAGGAAGAAGGCGCUACGCGUUGUAAACUGCUUUUAACCGGGAAGAAACCCCAGGACGUGUCCUGGGUUGACGGUACCGGAGGAAUAAGCACCGGCUAACUUCGUGCCAGCAGCCGCGGUAAUACGAAGGGUGCAAGCGUUAUCCGGAUUCAUUGGGUUUAAAGGGUGCGUAGGCGGAGCGUUAAGUCAGUGGUGAAAUCCUGCAGCUUAACUGUAGACUUGCCAUUGAUACUGGCGCUCUUGAGUGGGCUGGAAGUGGGCGGAAUGUGCCGUGUAGCGGUGAAAUGCUUAGAUAUGGCACAGAACACCAAUUGCGAAGGCAGCUCACUAAGGCGAUACUGACGCUGAGGCACGAAAGCGUGGGGAUCGAACAGGAUUAGAAACCCUUGUAGUCC
rnacentral:rRNA from 1 species